rnacentral:rRNA from 1 species
UACCAGCAUCCCGAGUGGUCGGGACGAUUAUUGGGCCUAAAGCAUCCGUAGCCGGUCAUGCAAGUCUUCCGUUAAAUCCAGCCGCUCAACGGUUGGGCUGCGGAGGAUACUACGUGGCUAGGAGGCGGGAGAGGCAAGCGGUACUCAGUGGGUAGGGGUAAAAUCCUUUGAUCCAUUGAAGACCACCAGUGGCGAAGGCGGCUUGCCAGAACGCGCUCGACGGUGAGGGAUGAAAGCUGGGGGAGCAAACCGG